AGGGGUAUAGCUCAGGGGUAGAGCAUUUGAUGGCAGAUCAAGAGGUCUCAGGUUCAAGUUCUGGUUCCCCCU